ACUGCUAGGUCAAGGGUCAGGAGCAACAUCUAUCGUGGCUUUGCUGACCACUCCGUUGGCUCGCGGCCUUUACCACGCUGCCUGGCUGAGCAGCCCUGCCGCGGGGUUCAAUCCACGGACACGUGCCGCCAUCUACCAGGACAACCUGCAACUUAUGAGUAAUCUAGGCUGCAACGAUGUAGAGUGCGCGAGGAGGCAGCCUCCUGCGACGGUCAUGCAGGCCUUUCAGCCCCCACUCACUGACUACACCCGAAUGCCCACACCCGACGAACAACCCAGGACUCUAGCUAUCGUGGACGGUCACAUCGUAGCAGCCGACAUCGUUGAUCUGUGGCAGAGGAAAAU